UCACCAUAAAAUAUGCAAUGAAUGCAAGCAAACUGGCAGAUGUACAGAUACAAUCUCCGAACCUCUGCAAAAAUCUUUUGCAUUCAAUGCUUAUUGAAUGCUUUAUGCGGAAUUAAUAUUUUUCAAGCAUUGAGAAAUUAAUAUGUUUCAGGCAUUGAGAAAUGCAAUUUAUGUGGUUAAUAUUUUCCCACUGAACAACGAGCAUAGCAUUAGUUAGGUCACAGUAGUUUGAGCUUGGUAACAAGAUUGAUUAGGCAUUGUAGAUCAUCGGCAACAAAUUCUCUUAAAGUUUGCUGAGAUUUUCCUCUCGAUAAGAUCUUGGUUAUCUAGAUCACAACCCAUAAUAGACAAUUGUAAUUUGAGACAGCUAGUGGCAGUUUUAUCAGCGCCAUUUUUGGCUUCGGUCAGUUUCCUUCUCGAUUUUAUUCAUAGCUAUUUGUAAUUUCAUGGUUUACAUGUUCAGUUCCAAUGUAUCUCCUCAAACAUAAAUAUUGAGAAUGAAAUCUAUUAUUAAUCAGAUAUUCCAACCCCCUCUGUAAAAUAUGUUUAUUCUGCAAAUUUUUAGAGUUACCAUGCUCUUCGUUGUCUAAAGCAUCUCUAGAGAUCUCAGGUUUGCCAAACAUUCCCUCAUUCUCAAGGAAAAAAGGCUUCUAAUGGCUCAAACACAUUUGCAGUGGAUUUUGAUGCAGCCUAAACAAGAGAUAUAUCAAAAUCAACCAGCUCAGAAGAAUUUUGAACUUCUUGUUGCACCGUUUUCUCAAAACCCAACUCUUGAAACUGAUAUAGAUUGAUAAUAGGAUAAAGAAAUAGAUGUCAGCAUCCCAUCACCAGACUGGAACUGUAGUUAUUAGAAUAACAACUGAACAACAUACAUAAAUGAAAUACAACUUUCCAAAUACAAAAACAAUUUCCAACUACCAUCUAUGGUAUAUCACCCCACAUCUCAACAGAACAAAAACAACUAAAUUUUCUGAGAUAAAAAUUUUAGAAACUCCUUUUAGUUUUCUAGCUAGUGAGACUUAGCCAUCAAAUACUCAUACACACCAACUAGAACACCAAGUCCAAAGCUUGGGUAUUUAUAAAUUCUUCUGUCAUGGAUGUACUAUUUGGCAGGAGCUGAUCAAUCUUGUUGACUUGGAAAUCAUACAUAAUCGCAGAAGGAUUUAUGCCACUUUUGCAAUUUCAAGUAGCAAUUUUAUUUUUUAUUUUUGAACUGGUAGGCUUAGGUGCAAAUCUUAGAAAAAAUUGUAAUGUAGAAACUAGAGCUGCAAAUUUCAUGCUUCACAGGAUGGCUAUCUGUAAAUUGCUAUCAAAAAAUCUAGGAAGAAGCUGCUGAGAAAAUCAUCCAGGCCACUCCAUGGAACCACUGUACUCUAGAUUUUGAUUUUGCUAUUGAACUGGAACAAGAGGUCAAAAACUAGGGGUACAAAAUUUAACAAAAAGUAUGCGAAGUAAUAAUACAUUUGUAGGAUUCUACAAGGGACUCUCAAAAGCCAAUUAAUUUCCUGCUUCCUCGUAAACUAAAAACUUGUCUUUACCUUUACAGGUACCUUUACUUGAGGGGCAAGUCUUUGAAUCUACCCAAAAGCGAAUAGGGAAAACCUUCUAGUAAGAUCUACAUUUUGAUUUUGUUUUUGGAGCUGAUGACAGCUUUGAGUUCAACUACUAGCAGCCAUUCAUUAAUCAUCUGAAUUAGAAUCCUUCCCCUGGAUAUGCUCUGUCAGCAACCACCAUAGAUUGCCAUCGGUAGUGUGUAUUGUCACUGAUACCCAGGGAUUUGUCCAAAUACCUAUCACAGUAGGAUAUCCGCUACUAUAAAAAAAAUUCCUCUCUUGUAGACCUUACAAGAACAUAUCUGCAAAAGCUGAACAAACUGAUUGAUGGAAUUCUUUGCAGUUAACUUCUCAACAAUAUCUCCAGUUGUAAAGAAAAGCAUUAUCAAUUCAGGACCAAUACCUCGGGUCCAUAUAAAUUCCCCAUACUAUUAUUGUCUUUCUCCACCUUUUGGUCUCCAUAUGCUCUAAUUGAUUUCUAAUUUUAACAUGAAGAAGUCAUUUUUUAUCCUUAUGCCAAAACUCUUUACCAAAAUGAAGGUAAAUUUUUAGAGGAUUUUCAUAAGUAAACACUAAGGCUUCGACCCACUAGAAGGACCUUAUUAUUCCAAUGAGCUCCAUUUCCAGCUGAAUAGUGCAAGAAGUUGGGACUGCGCCAACAUCACAGCAGAAAAGAACUUGCUCUCCAGACUUCGGCUCUCUUUAGCUUAAACACAUAUCUGCUCUACUAAUUUUCUUUGAUCUUAUCUACCUGGUAUUUCUUCAUAUUCAACCAAGCAUAUACUUGUUAAAUUUAGCUCAUGGAAGUAACCUUGAGUCCCGUGAAGCCAGAGAAAAUUGCAAAUUUGAGCACCUGGAUCCUUUCUUUAAUGGUUAAAUGUAUUCCCUGUAUACAGCCAGCUCUUUUUCCUUUACCAUAAAUCAAUUCUAUUGGAGAAAUGAAUGCCCAUUCACAU